rnacentral:rRNA from 1 species
CACACCAUGGGAGUCGGUAACACCCGAAGCCUGUAGUCUAACCGCAAGGGGGACGCAGUCGAAGGUGGGAUUGAUGACUGGGGUGAAGUCGUAACAAGGUAAC